AUUCAGCUGACGAGUCCCAGAUAGAACGAAACGCAAGUCCUGUAU
rnacentral:hammerhead_ribozyme from 1 species